ACACUCCUACGGGAGGCAGCAGUGGGGAAUUUUGGACAAUGGGCGAAAGCCUGAUCCAGCAAUGCCGCGUGCAGGAUGAAGGCCUUCGGGUUGUAAACUGCUUUUGUACGGAACGAAAAAGCUCCUUCUAAUACAGGGGGCCCAUGACGGUACCGUAAGAAUAAGCACCGGCUAACUACGUGCCAGCAGCCGCGGUAAUACGUAGGGUGCGAGCGUUAAUCGGAAUUACUGGGCGUACAGCGUGCGCAGGCGGUUAUGUAAGACAGAUGUGAAAUCCCCGGGCUCAACCUGGGAACUGCAUUGGUGACUGCAUGGCAAGAGGACGGUAGAGGGGGAUGGAAUUCCGCGUGUAGCAGUGAAAUGCGUAGAUAUGCGGAGGAACACCGAUGGCGAAGGCAAUCCCCUGGACCUGUACUGACGCUCAUGCACGAAAGCGUGGGGAGCAAACAGGAUUAGAUACCCCUGUAGUCCCAUGA
rnacentral:rRNA from 1 species